CACGCAGGCGGUCAUACAAGUCAGCUGUUAAAUGCAUGGGCUUAACCGAUGCAUGCGGUUGAAACUGUAUGGCUAGAGUACUGGAGAGGUAAGCGGAAUUCCCGGUGUAGCGGUGAAAUGCGUAGAUAUCGGGAAGAACACCAGUGGCGAAGGCGGCUUACUGGCCAGUAACUGACGCUGAGGUGCGAAAGCCAGGGGAGCGAACC
rnacentral:rRNA from 1 species